GGAUUCAUAGCUCAGCUGUAGAGCUCCUGCUUAACAUGCAAAAGGUCAAAGGUUCGGUCCCUGGCAGCUCCA